AGAGUUUGAUCCUGGCUCAGGACGAACGCUGGCGGCGCGCCUAACACAUGCAAGUCGAACGGAGCUGAGAGAAGCUUGCUUUUCUUAGCUUAGUGGCGAACGGGUGAGUAACGCGUGAGUAACCUGCCCUGGAGUGGGGGACAACAGUUGGAAACGACUGCUAAUACCGCAUAAGCCCACGAUCCGGCAUCGGAUUGAGGGAAAAGGAUUUAUUCGCUUCAGGAUGGACUCGCGUCCAAUUAGCUAGUUGGUGAGGUAACGGCCCACCAAGGCGACGAUUGGUAGCCGGACUGAGAGGUUGAACGGCCACAUUGGGACUGAGACACGGCCCAGACUCCUACGGGAGGCAGCAGUGGGGGAUAUUGCACAAUGGGGGAAACCCUGAUGCAGCGACGCCGCGUGGAGGAAGAAGGUUUUCGGAUUGUAAACUCCUGUCGUUAGGGACGAUAAUGACGGUACCUAACAAGAAAGCACCGGCUAACUACGUGCCAGCAGCCGCGGUAAAACGUAGGGUGCAAGCGUUGUCCGGAAUUACUGGGUGUAAAGGGAGCGCAGGCGGACCGGCAAGUUGGAAGUGAAAACUAUGGGCUCAACCCAUAAAUUGCUUUCAAAACUGCUGGCCUUGAGUAGUGCAGAGGUAGGUGGAAUUCCCGGUGUAGCGGUGGAAUGCGUAGAUAUCGGGAGGAACACCAGUGGCGAAGGCGACCUACUGGGCACCAACUGACGCUGAGGCUCGAAAGCAUGGGUAGCAAACAGGAUUAGAUACCCUGGUAGUCCAUGCCGUAAACGAUGAUUACUAGGUGUUGGAAGAUUGACCCCUUCAGUGC
rnacentral:rRNA from 1 species